rnacentral:rRNA from 1 species
GAUGAACGCUGGCGGCGUGCCUAAUACAUGCGAGUCGAGCGAACGGACGAGAAGCUUGCUUCUCUGAUGUUAGCGGCGGACGGGUGAGUAACACGUGGAUAACCUACCUAUAAGACUGGGAUAACUUCGGGAAACCGGAGCUAAUACCGGAUAAUAUUAUGAACCGCAUGGUUCAAAAGUGAAAGACGGUCUUGCUGUCACUUAUAGAUGGAUCCGCGCUGCAUUAGCUAGUUGGUAAGGUAACGGCUUACCAAGGCAACGAUGCAUAGCCGACCUGAGAGGGUGAUCGGCCACACUGGAACUGAGACACGGUCCAGACUCCUACGGGAGGCAGCAGUAGGGAAUCUUCCGCAAUGGGCGAAAGCCUGACGGAGCAACGCCGCGUGAGUGAUGAAGGUCUUCGGAUCGUAAAACUCUGUUAUUAGGGAAGAACAUAUGUGUAAGUAACUGUGCACAUCUUGACGGUACCUAAUCAGAAAGCCACGGCUGACUACGU